rnacentral:rRNA from 1 species
CCUACGGGGGGCAGCAGUGAGGAAUAUUGGUCAAUGGGCGGGAGCCUGAACCAGCCAAGCCGCGUGAGGGAAGAAGGUACAGCGUAUCGUAAACCUCUUUUGUCAGGGAACAAAGGCGGGGACGUGUCCCCGGAUGAGUGUACCUGAAGAAAAAGCAUCGGCUAACUCCGUGCCAGCAGCCGCGGUAAUACGGAGGAUGCGAGCGUUAUCCGGAUUUAUUGGGUUUAAAGGGUGCGCAGGCGGUCUGUUAAGUCAGCGGUCAAAGCCCGGGGCUCAACCCCGGCCAGCCGUUGAAACUGGCAGGCUAGAGUUGGAGAGAAGGACGCGGAAUGCGCGGUGUAGCGGUGAAAUGCAUAGAUAUCGCGCAGAACCCCGAUUGCGAAGGCAGCAUGCCGGCUCCACACUGACGCUGAGGCACGAAAGCGUGGGUAUCGAACAGGAUUAGAUACCCGGGUAGUC